AAAUUGAAGAGUUUGAUCAUGGCUCAGAUUGAACGCUGGCGGCAGGCCUAACACAUGCAAGUCGAACGGUAACAGGAAGCAGCUUGCUGCUUUGCUGACGAGUGGCGGACGGGUGAGUAAUGUCUGGGAAACUGCCUGAUGGAGGGGGAUAACUACUGGAAACGGUGGCUAAUACCGCAUGACGUCGCAAGACCAAAGAGGGGGACCUU
rnacentral:rRNA from 1 species